CUACGGCGGGCUAAUCAUGCAGUCGAGCGCGGCAUGCACGAUGAUGCUCUUCGAAACUGACGCUUGGGGAACGAACGAAUGCUUGGUGAGUGCAUUGGGGUGACCUGCCUGUAUUACUGGCAAAACCCCGGGAAACCGGGUCUCUUCCCGGAUAAUAGUUUUCAUCACCUGAUGGUUAGUUGAGAGGUGGCUUCUUGCUACCACUUACAGAGGGGCCCGCUGCCCAUUAGCUAGUUGGUGAGGUGACGGGUCAGCAAGGCAACGAUGCGUGGACGACCUGAGAGGGUGAUCGGCCACACUGGGACUGAGACGCGGACCAUACUCCUACGGGAGGCAGCAGAAGGGAAUCUUCCGCAAUGGACGAAAGUCUGAUGGAGCUGCGCCGCGUGUUUGAUGAAGGUUUUCGGAUCGUAAAGCUCUGUUGGUAGGGAAGAACAAGUGCCGUUCAAAAAGGGCGGCACCUUGCCGGGACCUAACCAGAAAGCCCCGGCUAACUACGUGCCAACAGCCGCGUUAAUACGUAAGGGGCAAGCGUUGUCCGGAAUUAUUGGGCGUAAAGAGCGCGCAGGCGGACCUUUGAGACUGAUGUGAAAACCCACGGCUUAACCGUGGAGGGUCAUUGGAAACUGUUGGAGUUGAGUACAGAAGAGGAGAGUGGAAUUCCAGGAGUACCGAUGACAUGCGUAGAGAUGUGGAGGAACACCACUGUCGAAGGCGACUCUCUGGUCUGUAACUGACGCUGAGGCGCGAAGGCGUGCAGAGCGAACAGGAUUAGAUAUCCUGGUAGUCCACUUCGGAAACGAUGAGUGCUAGGUGUUAGGUGGGUUUCCGCCCCUUAGUGCUGAAGUUAACGCGUUAAACACUCCGCCUAGGGAGUACGGCCCGCAAGCUGAGACUCAAAAGGAUUUGACAGUCGCUCGCACGAGCAGAUAGCAGUCAUCGUGGUUUUAAUUCUACGCAACAGCUUAGUAACCAGUACCAUUGUCGUUGCACUAUCGUGCAUGCUAUCAGAAGAGAUACCGAGGUUCCCUUCCGAGGACAGAGUGACAGGAUGUUGCAUGAAUGUCGUCAACUCAGUGUCAUCGCACAUGUCGUGAUAGUCCCGCAUCCGAGUCGCGAAUCUGAUCGUGACUGCCAGGUCCAUUAGCUGAGCACACUCUGAGGGUGAACUAUG
rnacentral:rRNA from 1 species